rnacentral:rRNA from 1 species
UACGGGGGGGGCAAGCGUUGUUCGGAAUUACUGGGCGUAAAGGGCUCGUAGGUGGCCAACUAAGUCAUACGUGAAAUCCCUCAGCUUAACUGGGGAACUGCGUCUGAUACUGGAUGGCUUGAGUUUGGGAGAGGGAUGCGGAAUUCCAGGUGUAGCGGUGAAAUGCGUAGAUAUCUGGAGGAACACCGGUGGCGAAGGCGGCAUCCUGGACCGACACUGACACUGAGGAGCGAAAGCCAGGGGAGCAAACGGG